UCUUGGCGUUCCUAAACAAAAAGGCUGUGGCUGGGGUGCCUUGGGGGCGGUACCCACUCGCGCGGCGAUAGCGGGUUGGGCGCAGGGUUCUGCCUAGCACUUCCGCCAGUGGCUAGUUGUCGGGUUCGAGGCAUGGAGGUCGGCUAGCUCGCUGCAGCGAGACCUAACGGGGCCGAGAAGCUCUGCGGGCAGGCCCCGAGCGGGCGAACAGGCGUGCGCGUGGCGGGGCGCGCGGCAUAUUGCCAAUGAAAUGCUCUCUUUUGGAGCCAAAGUGUGAGUUAUCUGAAUGCAGAGAGCUUCGUCUAUUCACAAAUAAACCCAACAUAAAUAAGCUUCAACAAAGAGGAUCUCUUCUCUGUAGGACUUUUUGCUAAGGUUGGACAGAUGAGGCAGAGAGAUGAGAUUUCUUCAGUAAUUCAGACAAAUGAUGACAGUGGACCAAGACUGAGUGAUACUGAUACUGAGAAGAAAGGAGACAUGCUAGGACUGAUGAAGCAGAACAGGAGGGAGAAAA